UACGGGGGGGGCAAGCGUUGUUCGGAAUUACUGGGCGUAAAGGGCUCGUAGGUGGCCAACUAAGUCAGACGUGAAAUCCCUCGGCUUAACCGGGGAACUGCGUCUGAUACUGGAUGGCUUGAGGUUGGGAGAGGGAUGCGGAAUUCCAGGUGUAGCGGUGAAAUGCGUAGAUAUCUGGAGGAACACCGGUGGCGAAGGCGGCAUCCUGGACCAACACUGACACUGAGGAGCGAAAGCCAGGGGAGCAAACGGG
rnacentral:rRNA from 1 species